rnacentral:snRNA from 1 species
GGAUGUGAGGGCAAUUUGACUGUGACACGUGCACCCCAUCAAUGGCCAGUGUUCACGGAGCUGAUCUGGCUGGUUAGGCAAGUGUCCCUUCCCCCCUCCCCACUCUACACAUGCCCCGAUCCCCAAAGCUGCACGCUGAGUCUGAGGACGAACUUCCCCAUAGAGAAGGCCCUUUCUUCCAUCAAGGAAUACAAAUAGCUGUGCUCCCCUGCCAGAAUCUCCAACACCAGUAUAUAAUUGUCAGAGCUUAAAUUCAGAUUUU